CGUAACACGUAUGCAACCUACCCUUAACUGGGGAAAACCCUGUGAAAGCGGGGCUAAUACCCCAUAACAUUAUGGUAAGGCAUCUUACUAUUAUCAAAGAUUUAUCGGUUAGGGAUGGGCAUGCGCCCCAUUAGUUAGUUGGUUAGGUAACGGCUAACCAAGACUGUGAUGGGUAGGGGUUCUGAGAGGAUUAUCCCCCACACUGGUACUGAGACACGGACCAGACUCCUACGGGAGGCAGCAGUAAGGAAUAUUGGGCAAUGGACGCAAGUCUGACCCAGCCAUGCCGCGUGCAGGAUGACGGCCUUAUGGGUUGUAAACUGCUUUUGUAUGGGAUUAAAGUGUUGUACGUGUACGACAUUGCAAGUACCAUACGAAUAAGCAUCGGCUAACUCCGUGCCAGCAGCCGCGGUAAUACGGAGGAUGCAAGCGUUAUCCGGAAUCAUUGGGUUUAAAGGGUGCGUAGGUUGAUUAUUAAGUCAGUGGUGAAAAUUCCGGGCUCAACCCGGGACUUGCCGUUGAAACUGAUAAUCUUGAGUGUAACUGAUGUGGGCGGAAUGUGUCAAGUAGCGGUGAAAUGCAUAGAUAUGACACAGAACACCGAUAGCGAAGGCAGCUCACAAAAUUACAACUGACACUGAGGCACGAAAGCGUGGGUAUCAAACAGGAUUAGAUACCCUGGUAGUCCACGCUGUAAACGAUGAUCACUAGCUGUUUGCGAUACAUUGUAAGUGGUUAAGCGAAAGCGAUAAGUGAUCCACCUGGGGAGUACGUCGGCAACGAUGAAACUCAAAGGAAUUGACGGGGGCCCGCACAAGCGGAGGAGCAUGUGGUUUAAUUCGAUGAUACGCGAGGAACCUUACCUGGGCUUGAACGUAUGGUGCAUGAGUGUGAAAGCACUCUUUCCUUCACAGGACUUCAUACGAGGCGCUGCAUGGUUGUCGUCAGCUCGUGCCGUGAGGUGUUAGGUUAAGUCCUGCAACGAGCCCAACCCCUGUUUUUAGUUGCCAGCAGGUUAUGCUGGGCGCUCUAGAAAGACUGCCUGCACAAGCAGAGAUGAAGGUGGGGAUGAUGUCAAAUCAGCACG
rnacentral:rRNA from 1 species